AGGACGAACGCUGGCGGCGUGCUUAACACAUGCAAGUCGAGCGGAAAGGCCCUUCGGGGUACUCGAGCGGCGAACGGGUGAGUAACACGUGAGUAAUCUGCCCCUAGCUCUGGGAUAGCUCCGGGAAACCGGGAUUAAUACCAGAUACGACCACUUUAGACAUCUGCUGUGGUGGAAAGAAUUUCGGCUAGGGAUGAGCUCGCGGCCUAUCAGCUUGUGGUGAGGUACGCUCACCAAGGCGACGACGGGUA
rnacentral:rRNA from 1 species